GUUUCCCCUGGAGUCCCUCUGAACACUUCAUUGGGGAAGGGUAAUUGCCUACUGAAGUGUUUGGGGGAACUCUGGGAGCCAC
rfam:Ipomoea nil DNA, scaffold: scaffold2014, cultivar: Tokyo-kokei standard.